rnacentral:lncRNA from 1 species
AUGGGUACUGCAGUUGGUGAAGCAAGCAUCACUGUGCAGCCACAGGGUAUUUGUGGGAGGAUUCACAACGAGCAGCGAGGGCCUCUAGCAAGCAAGGCUGGGAGAAUUCGAAUCCAGGGAGGAAAGGAGAUUUACUUUGUUCCUGAAGAAACUAUUAAUAGGACAACAAGAAUGAAAGCUCCAAUAGAGCAGUGGACAGUGGUGGGACAGCUGAUCCGCGUGCACAGAGCAGCAACCGAGCAAGGCUUUCAGGACAAGGGUUAAUAUUUGACAGAAUGAAACUUCCCGAUAAUUUGACAAGGGAUGCCUAACCAGGAAGCUGAAGAGACAGCUGCACCCUUCUCUGCAAAGAGGAUCUUCUGAGCAAGCCCAGGCAAGAGCCCUCUGUUCUUGAUGACUAUCUGUUAUUUCCACUUGGGAGCCCAAAUUAAAGUUGCUUAUUUGCCUUAGAAGCAAAGUUCGGCCAGAGGCAGCCUGGGGUGCCCAGGUUGUCCGAGAAGAGCCAUUUGAGGGAAAUUGCAUUUCUGGAAUUGAAACCAAGGGAGGUGGAACUGCAGUCGACACAAGGCAAGGACUGAGAAGGAGGCCGGGAUGACAAUCCAGAACAAACCAGCCACAGCACUCCCACUUGGAGAAUAAUCAGUUUCCCCAGUGGUGUUAUAAAACCGGUUGCAAAAAACCAGUUCCUCUUGCUUUAGGUGGCAAGGAUCUUCCGAGUGCUGGUUACCCUCUCACAGCUUUUCAACCUGCUGCCAAAGAAAUUUCCAUCUGUAGUUAUUAAUCCACUGGUAUUGAGGAAAGUUCCUGAACUUUGAAAGCUUGUUUGGGCUGGUAUGAAAGAAAAUAAGCACUUUCCACCACAGCAGAGCCAAACUGUGCUUUCUAGAGGCUGUGGAAAAUUGUUUUCAUUAAACGCAAAUCAUUGCCCCCCAAACCAAUGUUCUUGGGGAUGAAAUUGUCUUUGGCUCCAUUAACUCUGAGAGGCUACAUUAGCCAGUUCUCUAACGGCACUCUGCUAUGGAAGGUUCUAGAAAAUGAAUAGAAAGUGAAUCACUUUCCACUCGCACCCCCAGUACCAACCCCUCACCCCAGCAGCAGCUUACCCCUUAUCAGUUGGAAAGGGGGUGGGGUGGGGGAUGUAGCAUGACUGUG